rnacentral:misc_RNA from 1 species
UUGCACCCCACGAGGUUAGUCUCAUUG